rnacentral:lncRNA from 1 species
CAAAAGACAAUGUGAACAUGAAUUUAAUCCUUGCAUUAAGGAUAGACAUAUAUAUAUAUGAUCAAACUAAUAUUGAUUUUUGAUUCUUCAUCCACCACUACAGGAGACUCAGUGGUAGCUUUAUAAGACACAGAGAGUGACCUUGAAGAAUGGAUAACCUUGUUAAGGAAGCAAAACUAAAAUAUAGAAGAAUAAACUUCUACACUAUGGUGGAACUAAUCCAAGAGAUACUAAAAGAUUAAUAAGGAAACAAGCUGAAAAAUUAUUUGGAAUGGAGAUGUGAUGGAAGAGUCUGGUGCCAUUUUUGCCUGAAGAUAAUCAUCCUUCUUGUUGGCUACACAAGAACAACAACAACAGCAGCAGCAGCAGCAGCAGCAUCACCAUCAACAUCAACAUCAUCAACACCAUCAUCAACAAUAUCAACAACAGCAUCAACAAUAGCAUCAACCUCAUCCAUAUCAACCUCAUCAACUUCAUCAUCAACAACAUCAACAUUUAACUAUGCAUCUUUUCCUGGCCCAGGAAAGAUUUUUGCUGGCUGGCCUAACCUAAUAGCAUACUAUGCAGAGUACUGAAUGAGAGCCAAAAGACCUAAACUUGAGGCUUGUGUCCUUUGGGGGUAAAAAGAAAUCUAUCUUUUUCAUGGACCAAGUUUCCUCAUUUAUGUAUGAGUGAAGCUUACCUGGACUCUGCAUUAAGUUAAUCAAUUAAAUCAAAGAAUAAACCAGGUGCAAACAAGAAAAAAAAAAGAACA